AGUCGAGCGGGGUCCAUCCAGUGGUAACACUGGUGAAGACCUAGCGGCGAACGGGUGAGUAACACGUGAGAAACCUGCCCCGAAGACCGGGAUAACCCUCCGAAAGGAGAGCUAAUACCGGAUGCCCUCACCGGGCCGCAUGACCUGGUGAGGAAAUGGAUUCCGCUUCGGGAGGGUCUCGCGGCCUAUCAGCUUGUUGGUGAGGUAACGGCUCACCAAGGCUUCGACGGGUAGCUGGUCUGAGAGGAUGAUCAGCCACACUGGGACUGAGACACGGCCCAGACUCCUACGGGAGGCAGCAGUGGGGAAUCUUGCGCAAUGGGCGAAAGCCUGACGCAGCAACGCCGCGUGGGGGAUGAAGGCUCUCGGGUUGUAAACCCCUUUCAGCAGGGAAGAUUAUGACGGUACCUGCAGAAGAAGCCCCGGCCAACUACGUGCCAGCAGCCGCGGUAAUACGUAGGGGGCAAGCGUUGUCCGGAUUUAUUGGGCGUAAAGAGCUUGUAGGCGGCUUGGUAAGUCGAGUGUGAAAACUCCAGGCUCAACCUGGAGACGCCAUUCGAUACUGCCAUGGCUAGAGUCCGGUAGAGGAGCACGGAAUUCCUGGUGUAGCGGUGAAAUGCGCAGAUAUCAGGAGGAACACCAGCAGCGAAGGCGGUGCUCUGGGCCGGUACUGACGCUGAGAAGCGAAAGCGUGGGGAGCGAACAGGAUUAGAUACCCUGGUAGUCCACGCCGUAAACGUUGGGCACUAGGUGUGGGUCCCUAUCGACGGGAUCUGUGCCGUAGCUAACGCAUUAAGUGCCCCGCCUGG
rnacentral:rRNA from 1 species